rnacentral:lncRNA from 1 species
UUGGCCUCUGAGACUACCCGGCAGAAGGGACGUCCCCAAAUGACACUCGGAGGCCGCCUCCCUGGGCUCCGGUGCUCGGUGCCGGGAGGAGCGGCACGGCUUUCUACCCCGCCUCAGGUGCGCCAGCACGUUUUCUGGGCAGCAUCUGUGUGUUAGGCGACCGGAGAGGUGGGUUCCUUAUAGGGAAUAAGAAAACUGAAACUGACUUCCAACUGCAGGCAGAAGGAAGCAGUGGUCAUUGCUGGAGGUUAAAACUGUUCUGACCGGGCGCAGUGGCUCACGCCUGUAAUCCCAGCACUUUGGGAGGCUGAGGCGAGCAGAUCACGAAGUCAGGAGAUCAAGACCAUCCUGGCCAACAAGGUGAAACCCCGGCUCUACUAAAAAUACAAAAAUUAGCUGGGCGUGGUGGCGCGCGCCGGAAGUCCCAGCUACUUGGGAGGAUGAGGCAGAAGAAUCGCUUGAACCCGGGAGGCGGAGGUUGCGGUGAGCCGAGAUCGCGCCAUUGCACUCCAGCCUGGCGACUCAGCGAUACUCCGUCCCCCUCCCCCCGCCCCAAGAAAAAUCUGUUCUGUGGGGAGCGACAAGGAAGGAGCUUUCAGCCCGACGGGGGUCGCAGGGAAGAAUUCAAGAUGGCGUGUUUAGGAGCUCUAGCUCCUUGACAAAUUAGUAAAAUGUUCGUCUUAGGAGAAGAACGAAAAGGCUCUCCUAGGCUAAGAAACAGCAUACACAGUGAGAAACCUCAGAAGAAAUAAAAUUCAAGGAAGAUAGCAACAACGAAAACAUCAGAAGGAACACUAAAGUAGUCAAAUCAGCUUAGCAGAAACAAACUAAGUACGUUAACCAAUGGAAAACUGACGGAGAGAAAUAAACUGUUUUUGCACGCUAAAUGGAAAUGACUUUUGAAUUAUCUGCUUUGGAAGAUUAUCCAUGACACUGUUCUGCCCUGCUCUGCUCUAACAACAUUUGUAAGUCACUCAACAGUUAAUAAUAAAAGUCAGUUUUGAAUAUUGCAUGUUUUAGACACAGAACAAAUGUAAUGUGACACUGUAGGAAGAAUGAAUUCUCCUUAGUCCCAAAUUCCUUCUUUUUUUCUUAGAUUCGGGAAUAAGUAGGUAAAGAUACAAGAUUCUCUUAACCAGUAUCAGUAUAAUUGUUCCCUUUAGAUUUAUUGCUGUCACCCCAAUGCUCUUCUUUCUUUCUAGAGGAAAGGAAAAGAAGGAGGUAAUAGGAAAAGUAAUGGGUUGUCCUGAUGUUACUGUGUCUAGGAUGUCAUUGCCACUGGUCUCCUCAGAUCAAUCAUUCUGCCUAAUAAACAGAAAAAUAACAUGGGCAGCCUCACAUGCAAGCCUUUACACACACUGCUAAAGAGACCUCGCUUCCUCUGAGAAGUGAGGAUGUGAGAAUGAGGGAUUGAUUUUACAGAACUGGAUGACAGGUUAAAUUGGGCAUCUGGAGGUUUAUAUUCCCAUCUCCACUCACCAAGUUUCAUCCUCCAUUUAUGACCAAGGAUAGGUAUAACAUCUGAUCUUGAUGGUUACUGUUUCAAAAAACAAUCUGAUCUUUUUUAUAAAGUUAAACAUUUACUUAAUCAUGCAGCAUACUAAUUCCCACUCCUGGGUAUUUAUCCAAGUGACAUAAAAACAAGUUCACACAAAACCUGUAAACACAUAUAUGUCUUUAUUCAUAUAAUAGAAAAAACACAAACCCUAAAAUGGAAAAAACAUAAUGUCCUUCACCUGGUGAUAUGGUUUGGUUCUGUGUCCCCACCCAAAUCUCAUCUCAAAUUGUAAUACCCACGUGUUGAAGGAAGGACCUAUAUUAUACUUCACGUGUCAAGGGAGGGAAGUGAUUGGAUGAUGGGGGCGGUUUCCCCCAUGCUGUUCUUGUGAUAGUGCAUGAAUUCUCACCAGAGAUGAUGGUUUUAAAAGUGUUUGGCAGUUCUUCCUUCAUUCACACACACUCACUGUCUCUCCCCUGUGCCACAUAAGAUGAACUUGCUUCCCCUUCUACCAUAACUGUAAGUUUCUGAAGUCCUCCCCAGCCAUGCAGAACUAUAAGUAAAUUAAACCUCUUUUCUUUAUAAAUUACCUAGUCUCAGGUAUGUCUUUAUAGCAGUGUGAAAAUAGGCUAAUACAUCUGGUGAAUCAAUAAUUAAAAUGUAGCAUAGCUAUAAAUGGAAUACUACUCAGUAAUAAAAGAAUAACUCAAUACAUACAAUAAUAUUGAUGAAUCUCAAAUGCAUUAUGGGAAGUAAAAGAAGCCAGGCUCCUCUUAUGUGACAUUCUGGAAAAAGGAAGACUAUACGGUCAGAAAACAGAUCAGUGUUUGCCAGGACUUGGGGAUGGGGGGUGGGGAGUGAUUGACUACAAAAGGGCAUGAAGAAAUUUUGAAGGGGAGG